CCUGCCAGGUUGAAACUCCCAACGCUCGUGCAAAGCCGCGUUCAAUGACCUGCAACCCUGACACGCUGGGAAUAGAGGCCAGGCAGCGAGCCAUGGAGUCCCCCGUGAGACCGGGCUUCCACAGACUGGAGGUCCAGAAAACGACGUGGGACGUCGCGGAGAGGUACGCGACGCUGAGGCCGAUCGGCUCCGGAGCUUACGGGACAGUUUGUUCUGCCUUGGACCAGAAGACCAAGGAGAAGGUGGCCAUCAAGAAGCUGUCUCGUCCGUUCCAGUCCCUCAUCCACGCCAAGCGGGCCUACAGGGAACUCCGGCUGCUCCGCCACAUACAGCAUGAAAAUGUGAUCUGCCUCCUGGACGUCUUCACACCGGACCACACGCUGGAGAAAUUCCAAACCUUCUAUAUGGUAAUGCCAUUAGUCGCCCAGGAUCUGGGCCACAUUAUGAAGAAGCGGAGAUUAACUGAUCGCAUCAUCACAUACCUGUUCUACCAGCUGCUAAAAGGACUCAAGUAUAUUCACUCUGCUGGGAUCAUUCAUCGGGAUCUGAAGCCUGGUAACCUCGCUGUGGAUGAGAACUGUGAAUUAAAGAUACUGGAUUUUGGCCUGGCAAGACAGACGGAGAGUGAGAUGACCGGUUAUGUUGUGACGCGCUGGUACAGAGCACCAGAGGUCAUAUUCAACUGGAUGCACUACAGUCAAACAGUGGACGUCUGGUCAGCCGCCUGCAUCCUGGCUGAGAUGAUUACUGGCCAGGUGCUUUUCCCGGGACACGACAGUAUUGACCAGCUGAAUAAGAUCCUCCGUAUGACAGGAACGCCAGACUCCUCCCUGGUCCAGAAGAUGCAGAGUAAGGACGCGCAGUCGUACGUGCUGGGUCUUCGUCCGCAGAAGAAGAAAAACUUCAAGGAAGUUUUUGCGUCAAUGGAGGAAAACGCUGUAGGCAUCAUGGAGGGGAUGUUGCUGCUGGACCCAGAGACGAGGCUGACGGUGAAACAGGGACUGUGCCACCCUUUCCUGGCUGAAUAUCAUGACCCGGAGAGCGAGCCGGACUCGGGGCCUUACGACGACUCCUUCGAGAGCCUGGAGCUCGCCGUCGGGGAGUGGAAGAGUCUUAUCCACAUGGAGAUCAUGACCUUUGACCCUGAGAAUCCCAGUAAGACAGCCAUGUAGGAUGCUGUGAUGCGCCGGUGCCUCCCAAUGGUUGGUUAUAAUACCAACUCUAAAGCCACACUGUGAGACUCAGACAAACAUAAAACAAUAAUCCAAAUCAUUUUUGCCAUAUCGGAUAUGCGCCGCGAUCAAAAUGCAUUACAUAGGGUUGCUUUACUUGGUACGGUGGCCUGUACAGGACAGUAGAAAGAGGUUUGGCUCACGUGGAGGUUGUUUCUAUUCUAUGAUAUUCAGACAGCAGAAGCAGUUGGCCUGCAUGUGAAGUUGAUCAAAAAAAUGCUCUAGCACCGAAUUAUAAAAAUGCUGUCUUCUCAUUUCAAAAUGUGCCAAAUGGAUCGACGUCUUAGCUCAAGGUCCAUUUGCUUCUCCUGCUUCUCAUGGUUUCAUUUCUGUGACGUGUUAGAUGCUUACUUUACAUGUAUUCAUGAUAUGAAAAAAAAGGUAUAGAGUGCAAUUGCAUGUGGAAUUUUGUUUUUCGAUCAUGAUCUUUAGUGCUGGAAUUAUUUCCAAAAUUAAAGGUGGUAAAAAAUAACCUGUUGCUGUUAACUAUGAUGUUACGAAUGAAUAGUUGAUGGACGGAGGUUAAAACCAUGACAGGCCCAGCGUGUCACGGAGUCAUCACCAGAGGGCAGCAUUAUAUCUCAGCAGAGAUUCUGUGUGGAGGACGGGGACAUGCUGACGAGUUCUCCACAGGAACAGCUACAAUCCUUCAUUGAUGGCAACGUUAAAAAAAUCGGAAAAAGCAGAACAUAAAUAUGAAAGAAAUAGAAACAAAAGAACCACAUGAAAUGCAAACAAAGGAAGAUGCAAAAUGUAAAUCAUAAUUCUACAAUACAUAGAUAAAUAUGCAUGGAUAAU